rnacentral:lncRNA from 1 species
CUGUCCAGCAGGCAGGCCAUGGCCAGACCACCGAGAAGCCACAGUGGGCCACAUCCAAUGUCUUCGUGAUGUUUGACCAGCCCCAAUCUGGGAGUUUAAGGAGGUCUUCCACGGGUUUGCCCAGAGCUGUGAUGGCUUCAUUGACAAAGAAGGCCUGGCCUCGCUGGGGAAGAACCCCAUGGUGAACAGCCGGAGGGUGAGAUGAGUGAGGCCCCGGGGCCCAUCAACUUCACCAUGCUGCUCACUGUGUUUGGGGAGCAGCUGAACCGCAUGGACCCUAAGGAUGUGAUCUGCAACACUUCGAUGAGGAAGCCUCAACUUCAGGUUUUAUCCAGGAAGCCCGCCACGGUGACCACCUCACAGACCAGCAAGUGGGCGAGUUGUACCCGGAGGUGCCUGUUGACAAAAAAGGCAACUUCAACUAUGUGGAGUUCACCCGCAUUCUCAAACACGGCACCAAGGACAGAGACCACUAG